UGGGGAUUAAUUUACAUAUUUAAUCCAAUGAUUAAUUCCAUAUGAUCAUCUAUCAAGUCAAAAUAAUGGUGCAAAUUAUUCGUCAUCUGCGCAGACAAAGAUUCUACAUAUUGUUUAUACAUAUAUAAAUCAUUAUAUAAGACAGGAAACCUGAAAUAAAUAAUUAAGACGAAAAAGUAAAAAAGGUGACAUGCAUACGUGGAAAGAAAGAGAGUUGUUGUUUUAAAUUUAAACAAUUAGAUUAAUAAUUAACAAAAACAGACUAAUUAACAUAAUUUAGAAGUAGUCCUCAGUCCUUCCCUUG
rnacentral:misc_RNA from 1 species